UACGAAGGUCCCAAGCGUUGUUCGGAAUCACUGGGCGUAAAGGGAGCGUAGGCGGCGUGGUAAGUCAGAUGUGAAAUCCCGGGGCUCAACCCCGGAACUGCAUCCGAUACUGCCAUGCUAGAGGAUUGGAGAGGUAGCUGGAAUUCUUGGUGUAGCAGUGAAAUGCGUAGAGAUCAAGAGGAACACCAAUGGCGAAAGCAGCUCUCUGGGACGGUACUGACGCUGAGACGCGAAAGCGUGGGGAGCGAACAGG
rnacentral:rRNA from 1 species